CUGAUAUACACCAGCAGGAAAGAAUGAAGGGGGACGAAAAUCCUAUCAUACCCUGCAGAAAAAAAAAAAAGGAAAAAUAAGGAUAUAGAAGGAUGUAGGAGAUGGCUGCAAAUUAGAGGGGACUGGAAGAAAGUCAAAAAGUAAUGAAGGAAUUCAGAUGUGCUCUGUGAGCUUGUUGUGCUAAUCCCCAACUCCAGUGGGAAGCACUUAGCUGCUGUUACUCGUAUAGGUGUAGGGCAGGAAGAGAAGCAUUAACAACAGAGAAGAUUCUUGCUUUCAGUGCUCCUCGCAGCUAUCUGUAUAUCACAACCCCCAUGACACAUCAUUACUGCUAUUUCAAUCUCUGCAGGAGAAUCAUUAUCUGUGAACUGGAGCAUGCUCAUCAAACACUGCAUCCUGCAUGAUGACAAGAGCUUCACUCCAGCAAAUUAAUG